rnacentral:rRNA from 1 species
AUACGGAAGGCAGCAGUGAGGAAUUUUGGACAAUGGGCGCAAGCCUGAUCCAGCCAUUCCGCGUGCAGGAUGAAGGCCUUCGGGUUGUAAACUGCUUUUGUACGGAACGAAAAGGCUCUGGUUAAUACCUGGGGCACAUGACGGUACCGUAAGAAUAAGCACCGGCUAACUACGUGCCAGCAGCCGCGGUAAUACGUAGGGUGCGAGCGUUAAUCGGAAUUACUGGGCGUAAAGCGUGCGCAGGCGGUGAUGUAAGACAGAUGUGAAAUCCCCGGGCUCAACCUGGGAACUGCAUUUGUGACUGCAUCGCUGGAGUGCGGCAGAGGGGGAUGGAAUUCCGCGUGUAGCAGUGAAAUGCGUAGGUAUGCGGAGGAACACCGAUGGCGAAGGCAAUCCCCUGGGCCUGCACUGACGCUCAUGCACGAAAGCGUGGGGAGCAAACAGGAUUAGAUACCCCAGUAGUCAU